rnacentral:rRNA from 1 species
AUGCACGCUAGCUACAGGCUUAACACAUGCAAGUCGAGGGGAAACGGCAUCGAAAGCUUGCUUUUGAUGGGCGUCGACCGGCGCACGGGUGAGUAACACGUAUCCAACCUGCCCAUCACUUGGGAAUAACCUUGCGAAAGUAAGACUAAUGCCCAAUGACAUCCCACGAAGGCAUCCGAAUGGGAUUAAAGAUUUAUCGGUGAUGGAUGGGGAUGCGUCUGAUUAGCUUGUUGGCGGGGUGACGGCCCACCAAGGCAACGAUCAGUAGGGGUUCUGAGAGGAAGGUCCCCCACAUUGGAACUGAGACACGGUCCAAACUCCUACGGGAGGCAGCAGUGAGGAAUAUUGGUCAAUGGGCGAGAGCCUGAACCAGCCAAGUAGCGUGCAGGAUGACGGCCCUAUGGGUUGUAAACUGCUUUUAUAAGGGAAUAAAGUGGGUCACGUGUGACUUUUUGCAUGUACCUUAUGAAUAAGGACCGGCUAAUUCCGUG